rnacentral:rRNA from 1 species
UAAGGAAUAUUGGUCAAUGGACGAAAGUCUGAACCAGCCAUGCCGCGUGGAGGAUGAAGGUCCUCUGGAUUGUAAACUUCUUUUAUCUGGGACGAAAAAAGGUCUUUCUAGAUCGUCUGACGGUACCAGAUGAAUAAGCACCGGCUAACUCCGUGCCAGCAGCCGCGGUAAUACGGAGGGUGCAAGCGUUAUCCGGAUUCACUGGGUUUAAAGGGUGCGUAGGUGGGUUGGUAAGUCAGUGGUGAAAUCUUCGAGCUUAACUCGGAAAGUGCCAUUGAUACUAUCAGUCUUGAAUAUUGUGGAGGUUAGCGGAAUAUGUCAUGUAGCGGUGAAAUGCUUAGAUAUGACAUAGAACACCAAUUGCGAAGGCAGCUGGCUACACAUAUAUUGACACUGAGGCACGAAAGCGUGGGGAUCAAACA